rnacentral:rRNA from 1 species
UACGGGGGGGGCAAGCGUUGUUCGGAAUUACUGGGCGUAAAGGGCUCGUAGGUGGCCAACUAAGUCAGACGUGAAAUCCCUCGGCUUAACCGGGGAACUGCGUCUGAUACUGGUGGGCUUGAAUUCGGGAGAGGGAUGCAGAAUUCCAGGUGUAGCGGUGAAAUGCGUAGAUAUCUGGAGGAAUACCGGUGGCGAAGGCGGCAUCCUGGACCGACAUUGACGCUGAGGAGCGAAAGCUAGGGGAGCGAACGGG